GGGCCAGUGGCUCAGUCAGUCGUAGAGUACUCGACUUUUAAUCGAGGUAUCGCGGGUUCGAAUCCCGCCUGGCCCU
rnacentral:tRNA from 1 species